rnacentral:sRNA from 2 species
UGGCUUCCAACGUCGAGUUCCGCCCGUGGCGGAAGCGGGGGACCCACUUUCCCGGGGCGUAUCGCCGGUCUUCCGGCGUAGGGCAACCUCUUCGGCCCGAGCCCGUCAGCUAACCUCGUAGACGUCGAAGGGGAAACCG